rnacentral:rRNA from 1 species
AACGAACGCUGGCGGCAUGCCUAACACAUGCAAGUCGAACGAGACCUUCGGGUCUAGUGGCGCACGGGUGCGCAACGCGUGGGAACCUGCCCUUAGGUUCGGAAUACCUCCCCGAAAGGGGUGCUAAUACCGGAUAAUGUCUUCGGACCAAAGAUUUAUCGCCUUUGGAUGGGCCCGCGUUGGAUUAGCUAGUUGGUAGGGUAAAAGCCUACCAAGGCGACGAUCCAUAGCUGGUAUGAGAGGAUGAUCAGCCACACUGGGACUGAGACACGGCCCAGACUCCUACGGGAGGCAGCAGUGGGGAAUAUUGGACAAUGGGCGAAAGCCUGAUCCAGCAAUGCCGCGUGAGUGAUGAAGGCCUUAGGGUUGUAAAGCUCUUUUACCCGGGAUGAUAAUGACAGUACCGGGAGAAUAAGCUCCGGCUAACUCCGUG